GACUGUACAAAGGUAGCAUAAUCAUUUGUCUUUUAAUUGAAGGCUGGUAUGAAUGGUUGGAUGAAAAAUGAUCUUUCUUUAUUUUAUAAAAAUAAAUUAAUUUUUUAGUCAAAAAGCUAAGAUAAUUUUAUAGGACGAGAAGACCCUAUAGAACUUUAUUUUUAUAUUUUUAUAAAUUUUAUAGAUUUAUAAAAAUUUAUAAAAAUAUAUUAAUUUUGUUGGGGUGAUUGAAAAAAUUAUAUAACUUUUUCUAUUUUAUACAUUUAUAUAUGUAAUUUUGAUCCUUUAUUAUGGAUAAAAAGAUUAAGUUACCUUAGGGAUAACAGCGUUAUUUUUUUGGAGAGUUCUUAUCGAUAAAAAAGUUUGCGACCUCGAUGUUGGAUUAAAAUAAGUAUCAGGGGCAGAAUAUUGUUUACUAGGUCUGUUCGACCUUUAAAUUUUUACA
rnacentral:rRNA from 1 species